rnacentral:lncRNA from 1 species
AAAGUUUUGGACUCUGUUUUCUUACCGAAUCACAUACCUCUUCGUUUUCGGAGUCUGAAACAGGCUGAUAAAUAUCCCUUAGGUAUUCUUCCGAAGUUAUGGUAUUGAUAAUAUUGCUUUCAACAUUUAUGGGAGUACCUGAGAUAUAAUGCUUGAUUCUCUGCCCAUUUACCACUCUCGGACAAUUACCUUCCGUGUUGUUGAUCUUGAUAGAACCGGAACGAUAUACUUCCUCAACAACAUAGGGACCUUCCCAUUUAGAGAGAAG